rnacentral:lncRNA from 1 species
GACAACAAAAUCAAGGUCAGAGAGGUCAGUAUCAAAUCGAUUCUAAUAGAAAUCCGACCUAUGAAAUCCAGGCAAUUACCACUUUAAGGUCUGGCAAACAAGUGGACAACAAAGUCCAACUUCCUGAAAAAGAAAAUAAAAAUGAAUCCGAUAAGAACCCUUUUCCAGUAGACUUCAGAACUCCAAGAAACAAUCUAACUUUGAUGAAAUAAUGGAAGUCUUUAAAACUGUUCAAAUAAAUAUACCUUUUC